AGAGUUUGAUCAUGGCUCAGGAUGAACGCUGGCGGCGUGCUUAACACAUGCAAGUCGAACGGAGUAUUGAGAAUGAAGUUUUCGGAUGGAUUUCUUAAUACUUAGUGGCGGACGGGUGAGUAACGCGUGGGUAACCUGCCUCACACAGGGGGAUAACAGUUGGAAACGACUGUUAAUACCGCAUAAGACCACAGUACCGCAUGGUACAGGGGUAAAAACUCCGGUGGUGUGAGAUGGACCCGCGUCUGAUUAGUUAGUUGGCGGGGUAACGGCCCACCAAGACGACGAUCAGUAGCCGAUCUGAGAGGAUGACCGGCCACAUUGGGACUGAGACACGGCCCAAACUCCUACGGGAGGCAGCAGUGGGGAAUAUUGCACCACUCGGGGAAACCCUGAUGCAGCGACGCCGCGUGAGUGAAGAAGUAUUUCGGUAUGUAAAGCUCUAUCAGCAGGGAAGAAAAUGACGGUACCUGAGUAAGAAGCCCCGGCUAACUACGUGCCAGCAGCCGCGGUAAUACGUAGGGGGCAAGCGUUAUCCGGAUUUACUGGGUGUAAAGGGAGCGCAGACGGCGCAGCAAGUCUGAAGUGAAAGCCCGGGGCUUAACCCCGGGACUGCUUUGGAAACUGCUGUGCUUGAGUAUCGGAGGGGCAGGCGGAAUUCCCAGUGUAGCGGUGAAAUGCGUAGAUAUKGGGAAGAACACCAGUGGCGAMGSSGSCUGCUGGACGAUAACUGACGUUGAGGCUCGAAGGCGUGGGGAGCAAACAGGAUUAGAUACCCUGGUAGUCMMSSSGUAAACGAUGAAUACUAGGUGUUGGCAUCCAAAGGAUGUCGGUGCCGCGCAAACGCAUUAAGUAUUCCACCUGGGGAGUACGUUCGCAAGAAUGAAACUCAAAGGAAUUGACGGGGACCCGCACAAGCAGUGGAGCAUGUGGUUUAAUUCGAAGCAACGCGAAGAACCUUACCAGGUCUUGACAUGGAGAUGACCGGCUGGUAACGCAGCCUUUCCUUCGGGACAUCUCACACAGGUGGUGCAUGGUUGUCGUCAGCUCGUGUCGUGAGAUGUUGGGUUAAGUCCCGCAACGAGCGCAGCGCGUAUUGCCAGUAGCCAGCAGGUGAAGCUGGGCACUCUGGCGAGACUGCCCGGGAUAACCGGGAGGAAGGUGGGGAUGACGUCAAAUCAUCAUGCCCCUUAUGAUCUGGGCAACACACGUGCUACAAUGGCGUAAACAGAGAGAAGCGAACCUGCGAGGGGGAGCAAAUCUUCAAAUAACGUCUCAGUUCGGACUGUAGUCUGCAACCCGACUACACGAAGCUGGAAUUGCUAGUAAUCGCGAAUCAGCAUGUCGCGGUGAAUACGUUCCCGGGUCUUGUACACACCGCCCGUCACACCAUGGGAGUCAGCAACGCCCGAAGUCAGUGACCCAACCAAUCGGAGGGAGCUGCCGAAGGCGGGGCGGAUAACUGGGGUGAAGUCGUAACAAGGUAACCGUA
rnacentral:rRNA from 1 species